UCCGGUUGAUCGAUGCGUUUUACGAUACGCUCUCAAAGAGUCAAGUUGUUUGGGAUUGCAGCUUAAAAUGGGAGGUAAAUUUCUCCUAAGGCUAAAUAUUGGCGAGAGACCGAUAGCGAACAAGUACCGUGAGGGAAAGAUGAAAAGUACUUUGAAAGGAGAGUUAAAUAGCACGUGAAAUUGUUGAAAGGGAAACGAUUGAAGCCAGUCGUACCGGCGGAUAAUCAGCCUUUCGGGUGCGAUUCUGAGGGGCGUGAGGAGCUUAACCGCCUUCAUGUUUUGCAUAUUCGUGCACAUUUGGUGUACUUGUCCGUGUGGUGGGUUAACAUCAAUUUCGGUCGUCAUAAAAUGAUUGGAGGAAUGUAGCUUUGGUCUCGUAUCGAAGUGUUAUAGACUCUGGUAGAUGUGACGAUUGGGAUAGAGGAUUGCAACGGAUACCCCUUCGGGGGCUACCCGUCUGAUCUCUGAAGGUUGCUCCGGUGCCGAAAGCGUGCUUACGGUCAUCGAAAGUGAUUUUCAAAAGGUUAGAACGGGUUAAAUU
rnacentral:rRNA from 1 species